rnacentral:rRNA from 1 species
GAUGAACGCUGGCGGCGUGCCUAACACAUGCGAGUCGAACGAACAGGCGAGUCGCUUUCUCCUCUGACGUUGCCAGCGGACGGGUAAUUAACCUGUUCAUCACCUACCUAUGAGACUGGGUUCACUUCAGGAAACCGGAUCUACCACAGGUUAUUAUAUUGAACGGCAUGGAUCAUUAGAUAAUGACGUUUUUGCUGACCCUUAACGAGAUUACCUUGUCGGAUUAGCUAGUUGUGAAGGUAACGGCUUACCAUGGGAACGAUGCGUUGACGACCUGAGAGGGUGACCGGCCACACUGGAACUGAGACACGGUCCAGACUCCUACGGGAGGCAGCAGUAGGGAAUCUUCUGCAAUGGGCGAAAGCCUGACGGAGCAAUGCCGCGUGAGUGAUGAAGGUCUUCGGAUCGUAAAGCACUUUUAUUAGGGAAGAACAGUUGCGUAAGUAUCUAUUCUCGACUUGACGGUACCUAAUCAGAAAGCGACGGCUAACUACGUG